rnacentral:lncRNA from 1 species
UGAAGGCUCAGGCACGAACAAAGGAAAAGGAAAGCUGAUCGAAUAAGUGUGUAUUAUGAGUUAAUGGUUAUAGCUGUAUGGAUAUCUAUUCAAGUAUUGUAAGGAAUGUAUUUGAAGGUCUCGUACCUGGGAAGUAAACUUUGAUGUAUGUAAAUUAAGUUUGAAUGUAAUAUUACUAUUGUAUUAUUCAGCUUAUAGAAAUGGUAUCGUGAAGCACUGAGUUCGGGUUUCAAGUACCCGGAUUUGGGGGCGUCACAGU